rnacentral:tRNA from 1 species
GGUAAUAGCUCAGUUGGUAGAGCACUAGCUUCCCAAGCUGGGGGUCGCGGGUUCGAGCCCCGUUUAC